AUUGAACGCUGGCGGCAUACUUUACACAUGCAAGUCGAACGGUAACAGGGUGCUUGCACCGCUGACGAGUGGCGAACGGGUGAGUAAUGCGUCGGAACGUGCCGAGUAGUGGGGGAUAACGCAGCGAAAGUUGUGCUAAUACCGCAUACGUACUGAGGUAGAAAGUGGGGGACCUUCAGGCCUCACGCUAUUCGAGCGGCCGACGUCUGAUUAGCUAGUAGGUGAGGUAAAGGCUCACCUAGGCGACGAUCAGUAGCGGGUCUGAGAGGAUGAUCGGCCACACGGGGACGGAGGCACGGCCCAGACUCCUACGGGAGGCAGCAGUGGGGAAUUUUGGACAAUGGGCGAAAGCCUGAUCCAGCCAUGCCGCGUGUCUGAAGAAGGCCUUCGGGUUGUAAAGGACUUUUGUCAGGGAGGAAAUCCCUAGUGCUAAUAACACUGGGGGAUGACAGUACCUGAAGAAUAAGCACCGGCUAACUACGUGCCAGCCGCCGCAGUAA
rnacentral:rRNA from 1 species